rnacentral:ribozyme from 1 species
UUUCUUCUGUUUUGGAGAACUUCAUUAUUUUGAAGAAAAACCCUGACUACAAGCCUGAAGAAACCAAGCCUACCAAGAAAAAGAGACAAUAACUCUUCUGUUUUUACUCUUUUGUUUUUCAUUUCCCUUCAAAUUGUAUGCAAUGUGAACAAAGAAAAAAAAACAGAUGGUAGCUUCCCUUUGUUGUUGUUUUUUCGUUAUUUCGAU